GAUGAACGCUGGCGGCGUGCCUAAUACAUGCAAGUCGAGCGAACGGACGAGAAGCUUGCUUCUCUGAUGUUAUCGGCGGACGGGAGAGUAACACGUGGAUAACCUACCUAUAAGACUGGGAUAACUUCGGGAAACCGUAGCUAAUACCGGAUGAUAUUUUGAACCGCAUGGUUCAAAAGUGAAAGACGGUCUUGCUGUCACUUAUAGAUGGAUCCGCGCUUCAUUAGCUAGUUGGUAAGGUAACGGCUUACCAAGGCAACGAUGCAUAGCCGACCUGAGAGGGUGGUCGGCCACACUGGAAGUGAGACUCGGUCCAGACUCCUGCGGGGGGCAGCAGUAGGGAAUCUUCCGCGAUGGGCGAGAGCCUGACAGAGCAACGCCGCGUGAGUGAUGAAGGUCUUCGGAUCGUAAAACUAUGUUAUUAGUGAAGAACAUAUGUGUAAGUAACUGUGCACAUCUUGACGGUACCUAAACAGAAAGCCACGGCUAACUACGUG
rnacentral:rRNA from 1 species